GGUGUCCCUACUAUUGUUCACCUACACCAGUCAACCAGCCAGAGAGAGAGAGGUGACUGGCUGGCUGCAGCAGAGCGAGAGAGAGACAUAAUGACAUCUGAAAUGUCUUUAUUAUUUUGGAACUUGGAGGACCUGAGCCCUUGGACCAUGCCUCAGGACUACCUGGCAUGAUGACUCCUUGCUGUCCCCAGUCCACCUGGCCGUGCUGCUGCUCCAGUUUCAACUGUUCUGCCUGCGGCUAUGGAACCCUGACCUGUUCACCGGAUGUGCUACCUGUUCCCGACCUGCUGUCCCAGACCUGCUCGAACCCUGACCUGUUCACCGGACGUGCUACCUGUCCCAGACCUGCUGUUUUCAACUCUCUAGAGACAGCAGGAGCGGGCCAUAACCAUGUGUAAUCCAGGGGUGGCAUCCAUAGAAUGGAUACCAGGCAGGCAGUCACCGUGUGUUCUGUCUGGACCUGACUGCCACUGGCGCCAGGGGCACCCUGGUGAAGCAGGAACAGCAGCCUGAGCUCCAUUCCUUGAUGUGCUGGGAACUAUGCAAGAGCCUUCUGUCUGCCCCUGACGCUGGAAGAGAAGGGGGAAUGGGGGGACCCCUUGUCAGACCUCUAUCAAAGGGAUACUAUCGCCUCCUACUGCCGCUUCUAGGCAGAGUUGGAAAGAAAAAGCCAUGUCUCAGACUGGCCAAUAAAAAGAAAAGAUUAAGAUGGGCAAAAGAACACAGACACUGGACAAAGGAACUCUGCCUAGAAGGCCAGGAUCCUGGAGUCGCCUCUUCACUGUUGACAUUGAGAGUGGUGUUUUGCGGGUAGUAUUUAAUGAAGCUUCCAGUUGAGGACUUGUGAGGCAUCUGUUUCUCAAACUAGACACUAUAAUGUACUUGUCCUCUUGCUCAGUUGUGCACCGGAGCCUCCCACUCCUCUCUCUAUUCUGGUUAGAGCCAGUUUACGCUGUUCUGUGAAGGGAGUAGUACACAGCGUUGUACGAGAUCUUCAGUUUAUUGGCAAUUUCUCAGAACAAGAAUAGACUGACGAGUUUCAGAAGAAAGGUCUUUGUUUCUGGCCAUUGUGAGCCUGUAAUCGAACCCACAAAUGCUGAUGGUCCAGAUACUCAACUAGUUUAAAGAAGGCCAGUUGUAUUGCUUCUUUAAUCAGGACAACAGUUUACAGCUGUGCCUACAUAAUUGCAAAAGGGUUUUCUAAUGAUCAAUUAGCCAUUUUAAAAUGAUAAACUUGGAUUAGCUAACACAACGUGCCAUUGAAACACAGGAGUGAUGGUUGCUGAUAAUGGGCCUCCGUAUGCCUAUGUAGAUAUUCCAUAAAUAAAUCUGCCGUUUCCAGCUACAAUAGUAAUUUACAACAUGUCUACACUGUAUUUCUGAUCAAUUUGAUGUAAUUUUAAUUGACAAAAAAUUUUGCUUUUCUUUCAAAAACACAUUUCUAAGUGACCCCAAACUUUUGAAUGGUAUUGUGCAUUGUAGGUUACAGCAAUGUACUGUACGCUAUGAUAAAGAUAGACAAAUGAAUACAUCAGUUAUUUCCAGC
rnacentral:lncRNA from 1 species